rnacentral:rRNA from 1 species
AGGGCAUAUAGCCCUCGCUUUUCUGUACCGUAAGGUGGUACAGGAACAAGGACUGGGCAAGACCGGUGCCAGCCGCCGCGGUAAUACCGGCAGUCCGAGUGAUGGCCGAUAUUAUUGGGCCUAAAGCGUCCGUAGCUUGCUGUGUAAGUCCAUUGGGAAAUCGACCAGCUCAACUGGUCGGCGUCCGGUGGAAACUACACAGCUUGGGGCCGAGAGACUCAACGGGUACGUCCGGGGUAGGAGUGAAAUCCUGUAAUCCUGGACGGACCACCAAUGGGGAAACCACGUUGAGAGACCGGACCCGACAGUGAGGGACGAAAGCCAGGGUCUCGAACCGGAUUAGAUACCCGGGUAGUCCUGGCCGUAAACAAUGCUCGCUAGGUAUGUCACGCGCCAUGAGCACGUGAUGUGCCGUAGUGAAGACGAUAAGCGAGCCGCCUGGGAAGUACGUCCGCAAGGAUGAAACUUAAAGGAAUUGGCGGGGGAGCACCACAACCGGAGGAGCCUGCGGUUUAAUUGGACUCAACGCCGGACAUCUCACCGGUCCCGACAGUAGUAAUGACAGUCAGGUUGACGACUUUACUCGACGCUACUGAGAGGAGGUGCAUGGCCGCCGUCAGCUCGUACCGUGAGGCGUCCUGUUAAGUCAGGCAACGAGCGAGACCCGCACUUCUAGUUGCCAGCAACACCCUUGUGGUGGUUGGGUACACUAGGAGGACUGCCAUUGCUAAAAUGGAGGAAGGAACGGGCAACGGUAGGUCAGUAUGCCCCGAAUGGACCGGGCAACACGCGGGCUACAAUGGCUCUGACAGUGGGAUGCAACGCCGAGAGGCGACGCUAAUCUCCAAACGGAGUCGUAGUUCGGAUUGCGGGCUGAAACCCGCCCGCAUGAAGCUGGAUUCGGUAGU